rnacentral:lncRNA from 7 species
GAAGGAGGCCAUUUGGAACACUUGUGAGCAUAUUGGAGCCUUUCCUCUCCCUCUCUCUCACUCAUAUUGGUUGGGAUUGCAUUCUAGUGAGAUUGAGAGACAUCUAGUGCAUUGCAUCAAGUUGUUGAUCUUUGAGGCACUAGGGAGAUCAUCAAGUGAGGUCGUUGGCUUGUUACUCUUGGAGGUUGCCGCCUCCUAGACGGCUUGGUGGUGGUUCCCCGUGAGCUCUUCAAAGGAGACUGUGAAGAGGCCGCGGUGGUGAUUGUGAGAGGCGUUGUGCUUGCCUCGCCGGAGCGGUGAAAAGCAACUCUAGUGGAAUCGAGGUUUGAGGGUUCAUUGACCAAUCCGGCUCAAGAGAUCAAGUGGAGACUUGAUAGAGGAGCGGUUGGGAGCUUUGAAUCUACCUCAACGUGGACUAGGGGUGACCGGCAAGUCAUCGACACCACGGGAAAAAAUCAUUGUGCCACGUGUCAUCAUCUUUCCGUUGGUUUGCAACUUUCCUCACUAGCUUGUAUUUACUUGUUCAUAUACUUAUGCUAGUGAGUAUUUGUUGCUCGUAUAUGCUCUUGUAUAUCUAGUCAUAUCUAUAAUAAAAUAGUUGCUCACUUGUUGUUAGCUUGUGUAGCUAAUCUGUUUUACUUAGCUUGUGUAGCUAAGUAGUUGUUUCUCUCUAGUAGUGCUUGUGCUUUGUGCUCUUUGCUUACUAGUAUGUUUAGGAGCUAUCGUUGUG